rnacentral:rRNA from 1 species
CUGUCGGUUCGCCGCCCGUCGGUGUCAACUGGCAUGUCCUGUGGAACGUCCUGCCGGUGGCGGUCCGGGCUUUCGGCUUGCGUAAGGGCCCACGCCCGAAGCAGGCCGAACAGUACCGGCCGCCGGUCCAAUCCCGCCACGGUGCUCUUCACCGAGUGUCGAGGUGGGCCGGCACGUUUACUUUGAACAAAUUAGAGUGCUUAAAGCAGGCUGGUGUCCGCCUGAAUACUGUGUGCAUGGAAUAAUAGAAUAGGACCUCGGUUCUAUUUUGUUGGUUUUCGGAACCCGAGGUAAUGAUUAAUAGGGACAGGCGGGGGCAUUCGUAUUGCGACGUUAGAGGUGAAAUUCUUGGAUCGUCGCAAGACGAACCUAAGCGAAAGCAUUUGCCAAGUAUGUUCUCGUUAAUCAAGAACGAAAGUUAGAGGUUCGAAGGCGAUCAGAUACCGCCCUAGUUCUAACCAUAAACGAUGCCAGCCAGCGAUCCGCCGAAGUUCCUCCGAUGACUCGGCGGGCAGCUUCCGGGAAACCAAAGCUUUUGGGUUCCGGGGGAAGUAUGGUUGCAAAGCUGAAACUUAAAGGAAUUGACGGAAGGGCACCACCAGGAGUGGAGCCUGCGGCUUAAUUUGACUCAACACGGGAAACCUCACCAGGCCCGGACACCGGAAGGAUUGACAGAUUGAGAGCUCUUUCUUGAUUCGGUGGGUGGUGGUGC